rnacentral:rRNA from 1 species
UACGAAGGGUGCAAACGUUGCUCGGAAUUAUUGGGCGUAAAGCGCACGUAGGCGGCUAUCUAAGUCGGAUGUGAAAUCCCUCGGCUUAACCAAGGAAGUGCACCCGAAACUGGAUAGCUUGAGUACAGAAGAGGAUCGCGGAAUUCCCGGUGUAGAGGUGAAAUUCGUAGAUAUCGGGAGGAACACCAGUGGCGAAGGCGGCGAUCUGGGCUGUUCUUGACGCUGAGGCGCGAAAGCUAGGGGAGCAAACGGG